rnacentral:rRNA from 1 species
AUUGAACGCUGGCGGCAGGCUUAACACAUGCCAGUCGAACGAGUGGCGGACGGGUGAGUAAUGUCUCGGAACGUGCCUGGUGGUGGGGGAUAACUGCUGGAAACGAAAGCUAAUACCGCCUAUCAUCCGAUAUGCCCAUCUAGGUUUAGCUUGUGGGUGGGGUAAAGGCUCACCUAGGCGACUAUCAGUAGCGGGUCUGAGAGGAUGAUCCGGCACACUGGAACUGAGACACGGUCCAGACUCCUACGGGAGGCAGCAGUGGGGAAUAUUGGACAAUGGGCGCAAGCCUGAUGCAGCCAUGCCGCGUGUAUGAAGAAGGCCUUCGGGUUGUAAAGUACUUUCGGCAGGGAGGCGGUACCUGAAGAAUAAGCACCGGCUAACUACGUGCCAGCAGCCGCGGUAAUUC